UACGUAGGGUGCGAGCGUUGUCCGGAAUUAUUGGGCGUAAAGAGCUCGUAGGCGGUUUGUCGCGUCUGCUGUGAAAACCCGAGGCUCAACCUCGAACUUGCGGUGGGUACGGGCAGACUAGAGUGUGGUAAGGGAGACUGGAAUUCCUGGUGUAGCGGUGAAAUGCGCAGAUAUCAGGAGGAACACCGAUGGCGAAGGCAGGUCUCUGGGCCACUACUGACGCUGAGAAGCGAAAGCAUGGGGAGCGAACAGG
rnacentral:rRNA from 1 species